UGAGUAAUGUAUGGGGAUCUGCCUGAUGGCGGGGGAUAACUACUGGAAACGGUAGCUAAUACCGCAUAAUGUCUACGGACCAAAGCGGGGGACCUCCGGGCCUCGCGCCAUCAGAUGAACCCAUAUGGGAUUAGCUAGUAGGUAAGGUAACGGCUUACCUAGGCGACGAUCCCUAGCUGGUCUGAGAGGAUGAUCAGCCACACUGGGACUGAGACACGGCCCAG
rnacentral:rRNA from 1 species